UGAGGGAAAGUUGCAAAGAACUUUGAAGAGAGAGUUCAAGAGUACGUGAAACUGCUCAGGGGCAAACGGGUGGGCCCUCGAAGUCCGCGCGGAGAGGGAUUCAGUCGCGAUCCGAGGACGACGCGUGGUGUCGGGACGCCGGAGGGCGCCCGUACCGGUGUCGGUUCCGAGGGGCGCGACGCACUUUCCUCUCCCGAUGGACGCCGCAGCCGGUGGGGAGUCGGCAGUGAGGAUCCGGCGGGAAGGUGGCGUGGAUCCGGCCCUCGGGUCGGCGUCCCGUGUCUGCCCCGCCUACGGUCCGUGCGCGGCUCCCGACCGAGGGAAACCGUCGUCUCCGGACGACGUGCCGUGGCCUCUCUAGAGAGCGGAGGCCUGCGCCAGAGAACGGCGGCGUACCCCGAGUCACCGUGCGGUGGCCGGGGGCGUCGCUGCCUCGCUGGGCGCGACCGACCGCGGAGCGAGCCCCGGGCUGGCGGCGAGUAGGUCGGUAACCCACCCGACCCGUCUUGAAACACGGACCAAGGAGUCUAACGUGUGCGCGAGUCAGUGGGACUCGAACAAGCCCACGGGCGGAACGAAAGUGAGUGGUCGGGAUCCGGCCGGAGACGGUCGGCGCACCGACGGCCUGGCGCGACCCCCGGACACGGGGACGUCGCCGGCGCCGGAGCGCACGCGUUGGGACCCGAAAGAUGGUGAACUAUGCCCGGGCAGGUCGAAGCUAGAGGAAACUCUGGUGGAGGACCGCAGCGGUUCUGACGUGCAAAUCGAUCGUCGAACCUAGG
rnacentral:rRNA from 1 species